UACGUAGGGUGCAAGCGUUAAUCGGAAUUACUGGGCGUAAAGCGCGCGUAGGCGGUUUCUUAAGUCAGAUGUGAAAGCCCCGGGCUCAACCUGGGAAUUGCAUUUGAAACUGGGAAACUAGAGUGUGUGAGAGGGGGGUAGAAUUCCAAGUGUAGCGGUGAAAUGCGUAGAGAUUUGGAGGAAUACCAGUGGCGAAGGCGGCCCCCUGGCACAACACUGACGCUCAGGUGCGAAAGCGUGGGGAGCAAACAGG
rnacentral:misc_RNA from 1 species